UCCGUAGGGGGCAAGCGUUGUCCGGAUUUAUUGGGCGUAAAGAGCGUGUAGGCGGCUUUACAGGUCCGUUGUGAAAACUCGAGGCUCAACCUCGAGACGCCGGUGGAAACCGUAAGGCUAGAGUCCGGAAGAGGAGAGUGGAAUUCCUGGUGUAGCGGUGAAAUGCGCAGAUAUCAGGAGGAACACCCGUGGCGAAAGCGGCUCUCUGGGACGGUACUGACGCUGAGACGCGAAAGCGUGGGGAGCGAACAGG
rnacentral:rRNA from 1 species